AGAGUUUGAUCCUGGCUCAGGAUGAACGCUAGCGGCAGGCUUAACACAUGCAAGUCGAGGGGCAGCACGGGUAGCAAUACCUGGUGGCGACCGGCGGAAGGGUGCGUAACGCGUGAGCAACAUGCCCUAUACAGGGGAAUAAACCAGGGAAACUUGGUCUAAUGCCCCAUAGCAAUAAGAUAAGGCAUCUUAUUUUAUUUAAAGCUUCGGUGGUAUAGGAUUGGCUCGCGUGACAUUAGCUGGAUGGUGGGGUAACGGCCCACCAUGGCGAUGAUGUCUAGGGGUUCUGAGAGGAAGACCCCCCACACUGGGACUGAGACACGGCCCAGACUCCUACGGGAGGCAGCAGUGAGGAAUAUUGGACAAUGGAUGGAAAUCUGAUCCAGCCAUGCCGCGUGCAGGAAGACGGCCCUAUGGGUUGUAAACUGCUUUUCUACGGGAGCAAUAAGGUCUACGCGUAGACUGAUGAGAGUACCGUAGGAAUAAGCAUCGGCUAACUCCGUGCCAGCAGCCGCGGUAAUACGGAGGAUGCGAGCGUUAUCCGGAUUUAUUGGGUUUAAAGGGUGCGUAGGCGGCUUUUCAAGUCAGCGGGUGAAAAUUUUGUAGCUUAAACUGUAACAGUGCCGGUUGAUACUUGGGAGCUAGGAAUUUGGUUGCUGUGGGUGGAAUGUGUGGUGUAGCGGUGAAAAUGCUUAGAGAUCACACAGAAUAUCGAAUUGCGAAGGCAGCUCACAAAGCCAAGAUUGACGCUGAGGCACGAAAGUGUGGGGAUCAAACAGGAUUAGAUACCCUGGUAGUCCACACUGUAAACGAUGAUAACUCGCUGUCGGCGAUACACAGUCGGUGGCCAAGCGAAAGCGAUAAGUUAUCCACCUGGGGAGUACGACCGCAAGGUUGAAACUCAAAGGAAUUGACGGGGGCCCGCACAAGCGGAGGAACAUGUGGUUUAAUUCGAUGAUACGCGAGGAACCUUACCCGGGCUCGAACGGUGCAUGAAUGGACAAGAGAUUGUUCAGACCUUAGGGACAUGUAUCGAGGUGCUGCAUGGUUGUCGUCAGCUCGUGCCGUGAGGUGUCGGCUUAAGUGCCAUAACGAGCGCAACCCUUGUCAUUAGUUACCAUCAGGUAGAGCUGGGGACUCUAAUGAGACUGCCACCGUAAGGUGAGAGGAAGGGGGGGAUGACGUCAAAUCAGCACGGCCCUUAUGUCCGGGGCGACACACGUGUUACAAUGGGGGGUACAGAGGGCAGCCAUCCGGCGACGGAGCGCCAAUCUCAAAAACCCUUCUCAGUUCGGAUUGGAGUCUGCAGCUCGACUCCAUGAAGUUGGAUUCGCUAGUAAUCGCGCAUCAGCCAUGGCGCGGUGAAUACGUUCCCGGGCCUUGUACACACCGCCCGUCAAGCCAUGGAAGCUUGGGGUGCCUGAAGUUCGUGACCGCAAGGAGCGACCUAGGGCAGAACAAGUAACUGGGGCUAAGUCGUAACAAGGUAACC
rnacentral:rRNA from 1 species